rnacentral:rRNA from 1 species
UUGUCCUACGGGACGCAGCAGUGGGGAAUAUUGGGCAAUGGAGGAAAAUAUGAACCAGCAAUGCCGCGUGAAUGAAGAAGGUCUUCGGAUUGUAAAGUUCUUUAGUCAGGGAAGAAAAAAAUGACGGUACCUGAAGAAUAAGCUCCGGCUAACUACGUGCCAGCAGCCGCGGUAAUACGUAGGGAGCAAGCGUUGUUCGGAAUGACUGGGCGUAAAGGGUGCGUAGGCGGUUAUACAAGUUAGAAGUGAAAUACCCAGGGCUUAACUCGGGUGCUGCUUCUAAAACUGUAAGACUUGAGUACAGU